ACGCCAAGAUCACAGCUGUCAAUCACUUAUCCGCAUCAGCAUCCGAAUUGAGCGCUAGCUGGCGAGCUUAGUUAUAUUGUUUGUCUAUUUAAGGUGUUACACUUUUCUUCACUUGAAACAUGGAUAUGUUUGUUUCAAAUGUGAAAUGUCUCACAGAGCGCCUGCUGCAGAAACAACUGGCUAAUACAGAUGAGGUUAUUGAGAAGCUCUUUUGUGAAGACUUCCCAAGAGUAACACCACUGGAUCCUCAGCUUGAAGAAAGUGCCAUUCAGCUGUGGAAUUGGGCAGUCACCAAACGUGUGGGAACAGCCAUAAAUGAGCACCAGAAAGCAAA